rnacentral:misc_RNA from 1 species
UCGACGCUAAAAACGUUGUUUGUGUUGUAAAUUGUCAUGUUUUUGUGUUAUGUAAGUCAGCAUGCUGCUGUUAAGAAUAUUUAAUACGUUUAUAAGUGUUAUUAAGCAUCCUACUUAUGUCGCAGUUCGCACAAUGUCAAACGCGUCGGUGAGCAUAAAGAUCCGGAGUGGUCUGACGCCGUCUGACCCGGAGCAGCAGCCGGUGCUGAUCGUCGGCCAGGCUGCUCACCUCGCCGCGCUCAGCUGGGACGAUGUGCGCUGUAAGCUGGAGCCCAGGGUCUCUGAGGAGGCAUGGCGCCGCGGGCUGCAAUGCGUGACAUCAUCCCCGGGCGACACGUGCGAGCUGUGGCCCCGCGCCGCAUCGCUCGCAUCGCUCCCGUCGCGUCGCUCGCGUCACGCGGCGCCCGCUAGAGGACACGCGCUCGCUAAGAUCGUGCGCUCGACGCAGCGCUCUACUGACGAGACUAUUGUCCUGGUGUGCCGCAAGCGCGACGUGCUGGCGAGCGCGGUGAGCGUGGCGCGCUCGUUCCCGCUGUACCACGCGCGCUCCGCCGCCGCGCCGCUGUGCCCCGCGCCCGCGCCGCCCGCCGCCCGCGCACUGGCCCUGGAGAUACACCUCGUGAAGGAGGAUAGACAGGAUGGUGAAUCUGAAGAGGAAGGCCUGGGUGUGCUGGACGCAGCUCUGCUGGACAGCUCGCUGUCCGUCGAGGAGGUGCGGACGCUGCAGGACGCGGCCGACGCCACGCGCCUCGCCGCCCGCAUCACCGACACGCCCGCCAACAUCAUGAGUGUCGACAGCUUUGUGGAGGAAGCCUGCAAAGUAGCAAAAGAACUCGACAUCCCCGAACCCACUAUAAUCCGAGGCGAGGAACUCAAAGCCCGUGGCAUGGGCGGUAUCUACGGCGUAGGGCGGGCGGCGGCCUGUCCCCCCGCCCUGGUCUCGCUGUCCUACAGGGCUCCGGGGGCGGCUGACAACGUGGCCUGGGUCGGGAAGGGAAUUGUCUACGAUACCGGCGGCCUCAGUAUCAAGGCAAGGACGUCGAUGGUAGGCAUGAAGGGCGACUGCGGCGGCGCGGCGGCGGUGCUGGCCGCCUUCGCGCUGGCCGUCAAGGCGCGUCCCACCGUCAACCUGCACGCCGUUCUCUGCCUCGCUGAGAACGCUGUCGGACCACUCGCUACCAGGCCUGAUGAUAUACACACGCUGUACUCAGGACGUACGGUGGAAAUCAACAAUACUGAUGCUGAAGGUCGUUUGGUACUGAGUGACGGAGUUGUGUACGCAUCUAGAGAUCUGAAGGCCGACACCAUUGUAGAUGUCGCCACUCUCACUGGCGCUCAGGGCACAGCGACCGGCAAAUACCACGCGGCUAUAAUCUCAAACAGUGCUCGCCUAGAGUCAGCGUGUGUCACCGCCGGGCUUCGAACCGGCGACCUCGCGCACCCGCUGCCCUUCGCACCGGAACUGCACUUCACCGAGUUCACUAGCUGUGUCGCUGAUAUGAAGAAUAGUGUUGCUGACCGCAACAACGCGCAGCCGUCAUGCGCGGGUCUGUUCGUGCUGUCACACCUGGGCUUCGACUUCCCCGGCCGCUGGCUGCACGUCGACAUGGCGGCGCCCGCACACUGUGGUGAACGUGCAACUGGUUACGGCGUGUCGCUGCUGUGUGUUCUGUUCGGUUCGCGCACACACUCGCGUCUGCUCAGAGCUCUGGCGCCUCAGUUGUGAUACACCACACUGUACUAGAUGCUAACACCAGUGUCCACUUAAACAAUAACGGAGGAGUACACUUGAAAACAUACAUGAUUUUCCCAAGAAAAAAUAGCUGAAUAACAAAAUACAUCAUAAUUAUUAAUUUACAGAUUUCAUGCUUUACAAUGUAAGUGUAAUUUAAAUAACAUCUCACAAAAAACAUUUAUAUUGACAACCUCUUAUUGGGAAGUCGGUAAGCAUAAUAUCUAAAGAAUUACUUCUUAUUAUUUUUACCUUUAGUAUCUUUUUCGAAUCUAAUCUACGAAACUGCUAGUUCUAAUAAAACUGUUGUCUAGAAUUAUGUUUUCAAAUACAAUGAAUAUUGUGGUUAUCUAGUAAUACUGCCCUCUACAAGAUUUUAUACAUUUAUAACAGAAAUAAUAAAAUAAUAGUUAGUUUUCUAAGCAAUAAACUUAUAUAAUAUCGUUAUGAUUAUAAUAUAACAAAGUAGCACUUAGUUUGGAACUGUUGCCGAAAAUUAAGAAUUAUUGUCACCUUAAUCAAAUAUCUGUAAGUCAUAUUUUAUAUAGGAAAGCUUAAGGCCUAUUCAGACCUAAGCGGUAUUCGCUACCGUCUGCGGCAGAGAAAACCCAGUGGGUAUGCGAUAAUAUUACUGUUCAUGUUCGGGAUGCAUGCCGCUGCUCCCGCGCGGUAUGUACUUCUACCCACAGCGGCAGCGAAUAUCGCUCAGGUGCGAAUAGGCCUUUAUUGUAUCUUUUAAAUUGUACCCAAGAAAUAGGGAUUUUAAUUUGCCCUAUUUUCCAUAAACCUUUUUUUAUGCUAAACUGUUCAGCAGCUUAGUUAUCAUCAACUUUCAAUUUUAAUUGAAACUAUUAAAAACCACAUUUACCACUAAGGCAUAGACUCUACUAAAACCGAGGAGUUUUUACACCUGAGUGGGCAGAUACAAGAUGCUUUAAUAACGAAAUUCUUAUUAUUCAUAGUCUAAGUGUGUAUUUAAAAUAAGAUCUUUCGGCAACGUGUUCUAUGUCGCAAGUAAAACGCAUGCUAUAUCUAACGAAAAGCAAUAUAAUGUACAAUAAUAAGUCUUGGAGUUGUUACCUACAAGUAAAUGUUACCGACAAUAUGAAGAAACUAAUGAAUACCGUCCUUUUUUGUGGAAGCAAGGAGUAUUAACAUAUUCUGAAAUGUUACUGAAUUGUACACAAAAUGUUAUAUGUAGCAUUUAGGGUGGAUUUCAAUAACCUUUCCGUUGAGUUGCCUACAUACAAGAGAUAGGCAUUCGAAAUUACUUGUAUGAGACUAAUUACAAAAUUAAGCUAAACAACAGUAGAUAUAUUAUUGAAACCCAGAGUUAAGGGACUAUAAUACUGAUUCAUCUAAGAUUAAUAUGUAUUGUCAUUCUCCUAUAGUUUCUAAAAAUCUCGGUAACAAUAAAAACAUUAAAUCCAAGUGUACCUUAUUGCAGUUACGAAGUAUAUAUUAUAAUGUUACACCAUUACUUUAAGCAAUAGUUUAAUUAUUUGUCGGUUUAAUUGAGGCUUUAGUCUGUACCAAUAAUAUUAAAUACUAGUUCAAGAAGUAUCGUAAUAUGCGGUAUUAACUAUAAAUUCUAAGACCCAGUUGCAUCAUUUAACUAUAACGAUAACCGAACCAUAAUCAGCCGUAUACAUGCCGCUCAUUGGCCAAAAAUGCGCGAUUUGACAACUGAAAAUAUUUCGGCUAUGGAUAGUUAAAUCAUGCUACUCACCGUAAUAUAAUAUGGAGCCAAUUAUGGAAGCAUUAUAAGGCCCAAACACAAGUUACAAAUUAACUAAGAAUUUAAAAUAUUGGUACAGUUAAAACGUCAACCAUAUAACACGCUAGAAAUACAUUAUAUAAUAAUAAAAUGUGUUCGCUCAGAGCCAAAUCAUAAGCCAUAAUAUUUUUAUAUUACAUAUUUAACAAGCAUUUAGUUUCAAUUUGCAAUAAAACACUAACUUUGGGUUACAACAUUUAACUAUAACGAUAAAUAAACUAUAACCAGCCGUGAAAUUGUCGCUUAUUGGUCAAAUCGUCGAUGACAACUGAAAAUGGUUCGGGUAUCGUUUUAGUUAAAUGGUGUCACUCAUUCAUUUGAUUUGUGUAGGUUUUAUAUUGCUGUUGAAACAAAUAAUCUGUCAAUAAUGUAAUCUUUAAGUGAAAGUGUUGACUUUUUCGAAAUAAAGUUGUAUUUGAAGAUAAA